rnacentral:rRNA from 1 species
GUGAGGAAUAUUGGGCAAUGCCCGAAAGGGUGACCCAGCAACGCCGCGUGGAGGAUGAAGGUCGUAAGAUUGUAAACUCCUGUUAGAGGGGAAGAAUAACUAAGUUUGGAGCUUAGUAUGACUGUACCCUCAGAGAAAGCCCCGGCUAACUACGUGCCAGCAGCCGCGGUAAUACGUAGGGGGCAAGCGUUGUCCGGAUUUACUGGGUGUAAAGGGCGCGCAGGCGGAAUGGAAAGUCAGUGGUGAAAUCCUACAGCUUAACUGUAGAACUGCCUUUGAUACUUUCAUUCUUGAGUUCGGGAGAGAGAGACGGAAUUCCAGGUGUAGUGGUGAAAUACGUAGAUAUCUGGAAGAACACCAGUUGCGAAGGCGGUCUCUUGGUCCGAUACUGACGCUGAGGCGCGAAAGCGUGGGGAGCAAACA